AUGGGAGCGUAGCGUGCGUAUGGGGUAGUAUAUAGAGUAGAGGCCCAGGGACCAGAUAGAUCUGGAGUAGGGGCCAUCUGGGAUGCUGCUUAUAAGGACCAAGUGACAGAGAGGACAUAAAAGCAGAGCUGGGAAGGGGAGAUGCUGGGAGAAACAGUGAGACAAACUGGGAGGUCAACUAAAGCCCCGCCAAAUUGACAUUGUGGUCUUCAUCGUUCUUGCCCUUUUAAGUGAACAGAAUUAGCUCCAUCAGUCAGAAUCCAUCAGGAAGCAGCCAGUACACUGAAGAGGUAAAGUCAAAGAGAGGUUAAUAAAGGGGGUAUUUAGAGAAAGUAAGAGAAACCAAUAGGGGCUGGUGAAGCACCUCGGGCUAGCAGUAGGUGGAGGUGCUGCUACUCCUGGGCUUGAAGGCCAAGGGGACAAGAGCAGAUACAGGAACACCCUGAGAGCUUUAGCUCUAGGACAGGCCCCUAACAGGACCUGUGACCUUUGCAAGAGAAACACGGCCACUGCCAGCCUGCAGCGUGGUAGGAAGUGAGCCGGUGGAUAAACACUCCAAGUUCUCUUUUUUUCACCCUUUGAUUUCCUGCCACUCACAUCGGUUUCAUCCAACCAGAUGCCAAAAGGCGAGGGAGUCAGCUCAUGUUAUCAGCAGCCUGGAUGCAGAGCAGACAAGGAUGGAUCUGAGGGGCAAAGAGAGCAUCCUCUGCCUUUAUCCACAGGUGUACUUAGAAACUGCUGGGAACACAACCCACGAUGCUAUCCAUAGGGAAAUAUCUAAAUAAACUGUGAUGUGUCCAUACUAGGAAAUCCUAGGCAGAAGUUGAAAAGACAGAAUAAAUCAGUAGUUAUUGCUAUGGAGAGAUUGCUGAGAUCUAUUGUUGAGUGGUGAAGCAAAUUGCAGAAAAAUGCCUAGAGUAGGAUGGCAUGUUUACGAUACUCACCCCCGCCCCCCACCACCACAUACACUAUCAUAAGUCUAUUAAGGUGCAGCACGGUGGCUCACGCCUGUAAUCCCAACAUUUUGGGAGGCCGAGGCAGGCAGAUCACCUGAGGUCAGGAGUUCCGGACCAGCCUGGCCAACAUGGUGAAACCCCAUCUCUACUAAAAAUACAAAAAUUAGCCGGGCAUGAUGGCGUGUGCCUGUAAUCUCAGCUACUCUGGGAGGCUGAGGCAGGAGGAUCGCUUGAACCUGGGAGGUGGAGGUUGCAGUGACCCGAGAUCACGCCAUUGCAUUCCAGCUGUGGCGGCAAGAACGAAACUUUGCCUCAAAAAAAAAAAAAAGUCUAUUAAAUGCCCCAUGUCUUUUAUGGUAUUUUGUUAUAUGUAUAUGUCCAUAUGCAAAGUUUGGAAUAACAUACAUCAAACUGGUAAGAGUGGUUUGCUCUGGAGAGGUGGGAGGCAGUUCAAGAUUUGGGGGGUGGUCAAAGGGGACUUCAGUUGUGGUAGAUAGUACUGGCUGCUUAAUAACAGCCAUUUCCCACUCACCCCCUUCUUUAAUGCUAACAACUCAAAUCUUAUUCAGGUAUCAAAGGGCAGCAUUGUGCUCAGGGAAGGUAGGUCCAGGUGUCAAAUCACGAUUGAGCUAAGCCAAGUAUGCUUAUACCACUCCCCUUUGCCUGUGAUUUGUCUAGGGGUAGGCAUGUGACCUAGUCUGCUGUUGACUUUUUUUUUUUUGGCUUCCAAUUCCAUUUUAAUUUUGUUUCUUUGUAUGUCUUUCCUUAAAUAUAUAGUCCAUCGCCUUGGCUUAGUGCAUGUCACCAAAAAUUCUCCAGGAAUUUCAUAGUUUGGACCUUGGUGGCAUGGCUGGCCCUGGAUUAUCCAUGCAGGGAGGCCUGAUCCUGUGACAGCUGGCUGCAGCAGGGGGCUGCCCAUCUUCUGUGCUUUGUGGUACAUAUCUGUGUCACCAAAGUAGCGGCCUCGGUACAGCAAGCCUUUCAUCUGCUGCUUCUCCGUCCAGCAGUUGUUCCAGAGGUUGGCGAUAUAAUCAUCUUUCACAUUCGGUUUGACUGUUUGGAGGCUGGAGCCUGUGUACUCCUCGGAGAAAAUGCCUGCCACAUAGUAGAUGACACUCAGGUGGUCAGUGACUCGCCUGUGAUGUGGCCCACAAACAGUCUUGGGCUCAGACUGUAGGGUGGACUGGAGACCAUGAGCUGGCUGAGAGCUGACAUGAGGAUGAGGAUGGGUAUCAGCUGCACGAACACCCGCAAGCUGCCGUCACUCCGCUUCUCCCUGCAGCCCUGCCUUUGCUGAUUUAUAUUCCUCAUAGUCUACACCAAAGAGCCCAGGGUGGAGUGGAAGAUGCUGCAGAGUUAUUGCAAGGGGGUCUGUGACCCGUGCAACAAGCCCUGCCUGUAGAGCAAAUAUAUCUUGCCUUACGCAUGUACGUUCUACUAUUUUUCAAAUGCAUAUUUCACACUUCUAUGUUCUACUGUUUUUCAAAUAUAUAUAAAUACUACUGUGAUUACAAUAAAGGGAUU
rnacentral:lncRNA from 1 species